rnacentral:rRNA from 1 species
UACGAACGCUGGCGGCAUGCCUAAUACAUGCAAGUCGAGCGAACAGAUGAAGUGCUUGCACUUCUGACGUUAGCGGCGAACGGGUGAGUAACACGUAAGGAAUCUACCUAUAAGCGGGGGAUAACAUUCGGAAACGGGUGCUAAUACCGCAUAAUAUCUUCUUCCGCAUGGAAGAAGAUUGAAAGACGGCUCUGCUGUCACUUAUAGAUGACCUUGCGGUGCAUUAGUUAGUUGGUGGGGUAACGGCCUACCAAGACGAUGAUGCAUAGCCGACCUGAGAGGGUGAGCCGCCCAAUUGGGACUGAGACACGGGCCAAACUCCGACGGGAGGCGGCAGUGGGGAAUCUUCCGCAAUGGGCGAAAGCCUGACGGAGCAAUGCCGAGUGAGGGAAGAAGGCCUUCGGGUCGUAAAACUCUGUUAUAAGAGAAGAACAAAUUGUAGAGUAACUGCUACAGUCUUGACGGUAUCUUAUCAGAAAGCCACGGCUAACUACGUGCCAGCCGCCGCGGUAA